AUGACGUGUAGCAUGCCCGUUGUGGGAUUACUCUGAUGAUUACAUACUAUUUUAUUGCUUUUGGGUAACGGGGUGUUACAUAACA
rfam:Medicago truncatula strain A17 chromosome 8, whole genome shotgun sequence.